rnacentral:rRNA from 1 species
UACGUAGGAGGCAAGCGUUGUCCGGAAUUACUGGGCGUAAAGCGCGUGUAGGUGGUGGGACAAGUCUGCUGUGAAAGCGCCUGGCUUAACCGGGCGAGGUCGGCGGAAAUUGUCGCACUCGAGGACGGUAGAGGGGGGUGAAAUUCCCGGUGUAGUGGUGAAAUGCGUAGAGAUCGGGAGGAACACCUGUGGCGAAGGCGGCCCCCUGGGCCGGCCCUGACACUGAGACGCGAAGGCGUGGGGAGCGAACGGG